rnacentral:rRNA from 1 species
AAAGCUCGUAGUUGAAUUUCUGAGCUCGCCGAGCGGCGGUCUUUGGCCGACCACUCCGCAAGUUCAUCCUCGCCCCUCGGGGCGUCAUUUACUGUGAAAAAAUUAGAGUGUUUAAAGCAGGCUUUAGGCUUGAAUACAUUAGCAUGGAAUAAUGAGAUAGGACCAAGUCGUAUUUUGUUGGUUGCGCGAUUCGGUAAUGAUUAAUAGGGACAGUUGGGGGUAUUCAUAUUUAAUUGUCAGAGGUGAAAUUCUUAGAUUUAUUAAAGAUGAACUACUGCGAAAGCAUUUACCAAGGAUGUCUUCAUUAAUCAAGAACGAAAGUCAGGGGAUCGAAGAGGAUUAGAUACCCUCGUAGUCUUGACCAUAAACUAUGCCGACUCAGGAUUGGCACCCCUUUUUUAACAGGGUGUCAGCACUGUAUGAAAAAUCAAAGUCUUUGGGUUCCGGGGGGAGUAUGGUCGCAAGGCUGAAACUUAGAGGAAUUGACGGAAGGGCACCACCAGGAGUGGAGCCUGCGGCUUAAUUUGACUCAACACGGGGAAACUUACCAGGUCCAGACAUGGUGAGGAUUGACAGAUUGAAAGGUCUUUCUUGAUUCUAUGG